CCAAAUCUGAAAGGUAAAAAAACUUUUCUUUUUUCAUGCAUCACAAAAAUAAAAGUUAUAAAAUGCACAGGAGAAAAACUGAAAAUAGUUUAUAAUAUAAGUGAAUGAUUAAAAUACUGCUAUCAAAUUUCAAGAAAUGUAAAGUGAGCUCAGCGAGUAAGAGCAUGAUAUAAGAUUGUGAGGUUUGUGAUAAUGAAAGCAGAUUAAUAAGUCACUGGGCCUGAAACUGAUGUGUUGAUCAUCACCUAGUAAGCCUGUCAAGUACUGAUGUUCAUAAACUAAUCCAGAUAAACUGAAUGAACACCUAUAAAUGCAAAAUUAGUCAUCAGUACCUCAUAGAGAUACUGCAAAUGCAGAUCAAAAUUCGAUCAUCUAUAGAUACUAGCAAUUUUCUGAUAUUUUUCUUCUGUUCUGUUACAACAGAAUCCAACUACUUUACCAUGGAUAACAGAAACAAGAGGCAGGUGAAGAAAUAGGAAGAUAUGACCCAUAAACCAAGCCAAAAGAAACCAAAAAGAAUAGAAACUGCCUGUGACAGCAACCAGAUUUAAACAAGGGCUUCAAAGUAGCCAUUAUAAGUAUGUUCAAAUAAACAAAAGAAUCCAUGCUUAAAGUAAAUGAAGGUAUGAUCACAAGGUCAUAUCAAGUAGAGAAUAUCAAUGAAGAGACAGAAGUUAUUUACUAUCACCAGAUGAAAAGUAUAACUGAAAUGAAAAUUUCACUAGAGUAACUCAGCACUAGAUGUGAACUAGC